ACCUUGGUUACCAGCGCGGCUGCUGUGGUGUCGCAGUGCUCGUCCUCAAGUAAUCCCUAUUUUACUUAGUAGUGCCAGAUUCACCUAACUCUUAUUGCCGUAUAUCGCUACAAUUGUUUUAUUUUAGUGUAAUCUCUUACUAUGCCUAAUUUAUAAAUUAAACUCUGUCAUAUGUAUGAUGGUUUCAGGCAUCCACUGGGGGUCUUAGAAUGUAUCCCCUACAGAUAAGCAAGAGCUCUAACUGUGUUAGAAACAACACGGGCUUUGGAUGAGAAGAAGGGACGUUUGACUCUUGGCUCUGCAUUAAUGAGCUUUAUGAUCUUGGAUAUAUUACAGAUCUCAGUUUCCUCACCUGUAAGUCAGGAUAAUGAGAUCUGCUUUGUAGAGCUGUGAAAAGAUCAAUAAUGAUGCUUUUAGUGUCUGCCGCAUCAGUAGCUCAGGCGGUACCUGGUAGUGGCAGUGGUAAUGGGAAGAAAGAACUGACGCUUCCUACAUAAAAUCCCCAUGUUAGAAAGGCCAAAUCUUUAUUCUUUAUUUUCUUUCCACCUUCUAAUCUUCUAAUCUGUGCUUCCUCACUUUAAAAAGUAAAUGAUUUUAAAAUCUUUUCCAACACUAAAAUUUGAUUUUUAAUGACAAAAAUUGCAAUAAACUGAUGUAUAGUAAAGGCCUAUUGUGUGCAGAGAAGGUCACAUAAGAUUAAGUUAAAAUCUCCCAAAAAACAUCUUUAGAUUUUCAUUAUUUUUCUUCCUUCACACAGUAUUCCCAAUGGUAUCGCCGCAUAUAUGAUCAAAAGGAGCAGCAAGUGACAAUCACUCCUCUACACACCUGUGCUGCCUGACAGGAACACCACGAGCCCUGUGUGGCCGCGUGAGGCCCUGAAGUGUGGCCAGUCGGAGUGGGAACGUGCUGGGGGGUGUGGACUGCACGCUGGGUCUCGAGCCUUACGUUGGGGAAAAAGAAUGGAAUAUGUCUCCUUGACAGUUUGAUGUUGAUUGCAUUUAAAAUGAUAAUAUUUUAGACAUACCCGGCUAAAUAAAACAUAUUAUUAAAAUUAAUUUCAUCUUUCUUUUUUACCUUUUUUAAUGUGGCUAUUAUCAUUACCAAGUGGCUCACAUAAUAUUUCUAUUGCUGUAAACAAAUAGGAAGUCUAUAUAAUGUUAGUAAUCUCCAAAGCAUUAUUGUCACUAAAUUUUAGUAAACUUAAUUCUCUAAGUUAUAAUAUCUGUAAGGUUUUUUUCUGUACAUACUCUCUGGGGAGUAAAAUCAGUACCCACUCU